rnacentral:rRNA from 1 species
GACGAACGCUGGCGGCAGGCUUAACACAUGCAAGUCGAGCGAGCGGCGGACGGGUGAGUAAUGUCUGGGAAACUGCCUGAUGGAGGGGGAUAACUACUGGAAACGGUAGCUAAUACCGCAUACCAUCAGAUGUGCCCAGAUGGGAUUAGCUAGUAGGUGGGGUAAUGGCUCACCUAGGCGACGAUCCCUAGCUGGUCUGAGAGGAUGACCAACCACACUGGAACUGGGACACGGUCCAGCCUCCGACGGGAGGCAGCAGUGGGGAAUAUGGCACAAUGGGCGGAAGCCUGAUGCAGCCAUGCCGCGGGUGGGAAGAAGGCCUUCGGGGUGUAAAGCACUUUCAGCGAGGAGGCGUUACUCGCAGAAGAAGCACCGGCUAACUCCGUGCCAGCAGCCGCGGUAAUUC